UUGGCUGCUAUGGUGAUGCAUGCACUAGUGAAGCACGCACACAUGCAAGGCUGGCCCCAUGUCUUCCUUGGCUGCGAACAUCAUCUACAUGUACAACAUUGUCCCACAUCUCUGUGCUAUUUUGCCCGUUCUUCUCCUUGCAUCCGAGAAAAUUGGCGCUUAAUCUGCUAUUGAUUAUAGUCUUUGUUCGUUAAUACCAAGUACUCAGGCUAGCAGUAUGACCAGAUGCGAGGACCUGCUCACUGACCAGGACAAUCUAUGAGCUCCCAGCGCCUCUGAUACAAGGUGCGUUAGGGCCAACCUCUUCCGAAAGAAGGCCACACUCGUAGCCCCUCUGGAUCAAAAUUGGUAUCCCUUCCUUCCUCUCCUUUUGGAUUCACAUGAUUUUGCCUCAUGGAUUGAUGGAUGUGUCUGUAAUUUUAAAGUCUGGUCCUCGUUUACUUUCUAUAAUUUAUUGCAUGCUUGAUGAGGCUAUGUCAAGUGUCUAAAAUUUUGAAUGCAUGCGCUAAGGCAAUUUUGAGCACUUCGCAUUGAUUCGGCGUUUUUAGCUCCUAUAAUGGUCUUGAAGUUCAUGGUUAUAUACUUCUUGUUGUAGGAUGGCAAGUUGUCGCAGCUGGAGCAAGUCUCGCAAGAGAGAGCAAUGAAGUCCAUUGUACUCUCCUGUUAUAUACUUCUUGUUGUAGGAUGGCAAGUUGUAGGAUGUACGUGUAAACCUGAUUGUACUCUCCUGUCUAAACUACAUGCCAUAAUUGUCUUAUUGCAUAUUCCCUCUGUUCCUUCUAUAUUUCUGUAUAAGGAAAUGUAUUCCUGAGAUGAUUUGUUAUGUAAACCUGAUGUGAUGCGAUGGAUGAUUUGAAUUUCAUAUGAAGUUUUCUUGAUUUGAAUAUGAAAUAAUGUUG
rnacentral:lncRNA from 1 species